AAUGAACGCUGGCGGCAGGCCUAACACAUGCAAGUCGAACGGGUCCUUCGGGACUAGUGGCGGACGGGUGAGUAACGCGUGGGAACGUGCCCCUUGGUACGGAAUAGCCCCGGGAAACCUGGGAGUAAUACCGUAUGUGGUCGAGAGACGAAAGAUUUAUCGCCAAGGGAUCGGCCCGCGUUGGAUUAGGUAGUUGGUGGGGUAAUGGCCUACCAAGCCGACGAUCCAUAGCUGGUCUGAGAGGAUGAUCAGCCACACUGGGACUGAGACACGGCCCAGACUCCUACGGGAGGCAGCAGUGGGGAAUAUUGGACAAUGGGCGAAAGCCUGAUCCAGCAAUGCCGCGUGAGUGAUGAAGGCCUUAGGGUUGUAAAGCUCUUUUACCAGGGAUGAUAAUGACAGUACCUGGAGAAGAAGCCCCGGCUAACUCCGUG
rnacentral:rRNA from 1 species